rnacentral:rRNA from 1 species
AUUGAACGCUGGCGGUAUGCUUAACACAUGCAAGUAGAACGGUAGCAGGCCUUCGGGCGCUGACGAGUGGCGGACGGGUGAGUAACGCGUAGGAAUCUGCCUGUUAGUGGGGGACAACUUAGGGAAACUUAAGCUAAUACCGCAUACGCCCUACGGGGAAAAGGAGGGGACCUUCGGGCCUUCCGCUAACAGAUGAGCCUGCGUUGGAUUAGCUAGUUGGUAGGGUAAAGGCCUACCAAGGCGACGAUCCAUAGCUGGUCUGAGAGGACGAUCAGCCACACUGGGACUGAGACACGGCCCAGACUCCUAUGGGAGGCAGCAGUGGGGAAUAUUGGACAAUGGGCGCAAGCCUGAUCCAGCAAUACCGCGUGUGUGAAGAAGGCCCGAGGGUUGUAAAGCACUUUCAAUAGGGAGGAACACCUGCUGAUUAAUACUUGGCAGACUGACAUUACCUAUACAAGAAGCACCGGCUAACUCCGUGCCAGCAGCCGCCGUAA